rnacentral:rRNA from 1 species
UGGGGAAUAUUGCACAAUGGGGGAAACCCUGAUGCAGCGACGCCGCGUGAGCGAAGAAGGCUUUCGAUUCGUAAAGCUCUGUCCUAUGAGAAGAUAAUGACGGUAUCAUAGGAGGAAGCCCUGGCUAAAUAUGUGCCAGCAGCCGCGGUAAUACGUAUGGGGCGAGCGUUGUCCGGAAUUAUUGGGCGUAAAGGGUACGUAGGUGGUUUUUUAAGUCAGGUGUCAAAGCGUGGAGCUUAACUCCAUUAAGCACUUGAAACUGAAAGACUUGAGUGAAGGAGAGGAAAGUGGAAUUCCUAGUGUAGCGGUGAAAUGCGUAGAUAUUAGGAGGAAUACCGGUGGCGAAGGCGACUUUCUGGACUUUUACUGACGCUCAGGUACGAAAGCGUGGGGAGCAAACAGG